rnacentral:rRNA from 1 species
UACGAAGGGGGCUAGCGUUGUUCGGAUUUACUGGGCGUAAAGCGCACGUAGGCGGACUAUUAAGUCAGGGGUGAAAUCCCGGGGCUCAACCCCGGAACUGCCUUUGAUACUGGUAGUCUUGAGUUCGAGAGAGGUGAGUGGAAUUCCGAGUGUAGAGGUGAAAUUCGUAGAUAUUCGGAGGAACACCAGUGGCGAAGGCGGUUCACUGGCUCGAUACUGACGCUGAGGUGCGAAAGCGUGGGGAGCAAACAGG